GACGAACGCUGGCGGCGUGCUUAACACAUGCAAGUCGAACGGUGAACGAGGGAGCUUGCUCCCUCCGGAUCAGUGGCGAACGGGUGAGUAACACGUGAGCAAUCUGCCCCGAACUCUGGGAUAAGCGUUGGAAACGACGUCUAAUACCGGAUACGACGCGGGAGGGCAUCCUCUCCGCGUGGAAAGAACUUCGGUUCGGGAUGAGCUCGCGGCCUAUCAGCUUGUUGGUGAGGUAACGGCUCACCAAGGCGACGACGGGUAGCCGGCCUGAGAGGGUGACCGGCCACCGGGGGAGAGAAACCGGGCCAAGCCCCAGCGGGGAGCAGGAGGGGGGAAUUAUGGACAAGGGGGCGAAGCCUGGAGGCAGAACCGCGGGGGGGGGGAGGCGGGCUUGGGGUUGUAAACCCUUUUUAGGCGGGAAAAAAGGAAAGGGGGGGGUCCCGAAAAAAAAAGCCCGGCCAAACUAGGGC
rnacentral:rRNA from 1 species